UUACGAUUGACGGAGCGAAGCGACGUCAAAGCGUAUACAAAGUCGAGUCGGUUUAAGGAUACGUUUGUUGGGUAGGGGAGCGUUCUGUAAGCCUGUGAAGGUGUGUCGUGAGGCAUGCUGGAGGUAUCAGAAGUGCGAAUGCUGACAUAAGUAACGAUAAAGCGGGUGAAAAGCCCGCUCGCCGGAAGACCAAGGGUUCCUGUCCAACGUUAAUCGGGGCAGGGUGAGUCGACCCCUAAGGCGAGGCCGAAAGGCGUAGUCGAUGGGAAACGGGUUAAUAUUCCCGUACUUGGUGUUACUGCGAAGGGGGGACGGAGAAGGCUAUGUUGGCCGGGCGACGGUUGUCCCGGUUUAAGCGUGUAGGUGUGUGUUCCAGGUAAAUCCGGUUCACUUUAACACUGAGGCGUGACGACGAGGCACUACGGUGCUGAAGCAACAAAUGCCCUGCUUCCAGGAAAAGCCUCUAAGCAUCAGGUAACAUCAAAUCGUACCCCAAACCGACACAGGUGGUCAGGUAGAGAAUACCAAGGCGCUUGAGAGAACUCGGGUGAAGGAACUAGGCAAAAUGGUGCCGUAACUUCGGGAGAAGGCACGCUGACACGUAGGUGAAGUGAUUUACUCAUGGAGCUGAAGUCAGUCGAAGAUACCAGCUGGCUGCAACUGUUUAUUAAAAACACAGCACUGUGCAAACACGAAAGUGGACGUAUACGGUGUGACGCCUGCCCGGUGCCGGAAGGUUAAUUGAUGGGGUCAGCGCAAGCGAAGCUCCUGAUCGAAGCCCCGGUAAACGGCGGCCGUAACUAUAACGGUCCUAAGGUAGCGAAAUUCCUUGUCGGGUAAGUUCCGACCUGCACGAAUGGCGUAAUGAUGGCCAGGCUGUCUCCACCCGAGACUCAGUGAAAUUGAACUCGCUGUGAAGAUGCAGUGUACCCGCGGCAAGACGGAAAGACCCCGUGAACCUUUACUAUAGCUUGACACUGAACAUUGAGCCUUGAUGUGUAGGAUAGGUGGGAGGCUUUGAAGUGUGGACGCCAGUCUGCAUGGAGCCGACCUUGAAAUACCACCCUUUAAUGUUUGAUGUUCUAACGUGGACCCGUGAUCCGGGUUGCGGACAGUGUCUGGUGGGUAGUUUGACUGGGGCGGUCUCCUCCUAAAGAGUAACGGAGGAGCACGAAGGUUGGCUAAUCCUGGUCGGACAUCAGGAGGUUAGUGCAAUGGCAUAAGCCAGCUUGACUGCGAGCGUGACGGCGCGAGCAGGUGCGAAAGCAGGUCAUAGUGAUCCGGUGGUUCUGAAUGGAAGGGCCAUCGCUCAACGGAUAAAAGGUACUCCGGGGAUAACAGGCUGAUACCGCCCAAGAGUUCAUAUCGACGGCGGUGUUUGGCACCUCGAUGUCGGCUCAUCACAUCCUGGGGCUGAAGUAGGUCCCAAGGGUAUGGCUGUUCGCCAUUUAAAGUGGUACGCGAGCUGGGUUUAGAACGUCGUGAGACAGUUCGGUCCCUAUCUGCCGUGGGCGCUGGAGAACUGAGGGGGGCUGCUCCUAGUACGAGAGGACCGGAGUGGACGCAUCACUGGUGUUCGGGUUGUCAUGCCAAUGGCACUGCCCGGUAGCUAAAUGCGGAAGAGAUAAGUGCUGAAAGCAUCUAAGCACGAAACUUGCCCCGAG
rnacentral:rRNA from 1 species